ACUCUUAAUAUAUUCCUUCAACGAAAGAAAUCAGUGGUCAUUCCGGACGAUCGCACUGACUAUGCAGGAGGCCUUCCUCUUCCCAUCUACCGUUUUCCGAAGAAGGAAAGUGCACGAAUUAUUGCAGUGGAGAAAUUACUUUACAAAAAACUGAUGCUUUAGAUUGACAAGUGUGAACAAGCGGCUGAAUGAUCAAUCAGCUGUAUAGGUAGAUCCAAGACAAAUGGAGGUGGAGGGACAUACAUUGAGAGCAAGGGUUGCGUCACAAAAAGACGCUCUCCGUGAAAUCUACCACCUCUCUACGAGGUUUUCAUUUGUUGUCCUGAAAGAGAAACAUCCUGUAUACUAUAAACCAUAUGUUUAAAAAUACGUAAGUAUAAAUAAAUUUAUAAGCAAACCUAAACGCAUCGAAUUAACGUACAUCUUUAAUACAUCUAAUUAUAACUUUUUAAUUAUAUUAAUAUAAUUUUUUAAUACACAUUUGCGGGAGCACAGCAAUUGAUAUCAUGCGGCGCUUACUCACCAUCAUCGUUGAUGUCAGCGCUGACUCGAGGCUUAGCAGGACCCGAGGAAAAGAAACGAUGUGAGCAAGUAAUCACCUUCUGGUGUCGAUGCACCGGAAGUCGGAGCUGCGCUAUGCAUUCUAGCGCAUGAAAGAGUCAAACGUCAUCACGUCGAAGUCAUUGUGUCGCGCGAAACUCGGAAGCCGGUAAGGCUGUCAGUCUUUUACUGUAACAACUCUCGGAAUUCUAACUUCUGAGCUAACAAUCAAAGGCGACCGCUUUAACGUUUUGCCAAUCGCUUAAAUGCGAUUAUCUUCAGUUAAAACAAACAAUAAUAAUCUCUAGUCAAAAAUUUAAAAUAUCUAGAGCUUCGGCAAGUGACAUUCUAUAUUAUUCUAAUGCUUUCCAGAGCACUAAAUAUAAUUUUGAGUUUCUAUUUCCUGAAUAUCUAGUGUAAGCUGUCAUAUUUAUAUUUAAAUUCUUAAAAUAUUCAAAAUAUUGUGUUAACUAAAGAGUCUGCAGAUUUUGGCAGACAGAAAACUGCGUGUAAGACUUUCAUUAACAUGAAUAUGCACCA